rnacentral:rRNA from 1 species
AACGGACGCUGGCGGCAUGCCUAACACAUGCAAGUCGAACGAGACCUUCGGGUCUAGUGGCGCACGGGUGCGUAACGCGUGGGAACCUGCCCUUAGGUUCGGAAUAACUCCCCGAAAGGGGUGCUAAUACCGGAUAAUGUCUUCGGACCAAAGAUUUAUCGCCUUUGGAUGGGCCCGCGUUGGACUAGCUAGUUGGUAGGGUAAAAGCCUACCAAGGCGACGAUCCAUAGCUGGUCUGAGAGGAUGAUCAGCCACACUGGGACUGAGACACGGCCCAGACUCCUACGGGAGGCAGCAGUGGGGAAUAUUGGACAAUGGGCGAAAGCCUGAUCCAGCAAUGCCGCGUGAGUGAUGAAGGCCUUAGGGUUGUAAAGCUCUUUUACCCGGGAUGAUAAUGACAGUACCGGGAGAAUAAGCUCCGGCUAACUCCGUG